UAGAGAAGGUCUGGUGGAGGGAUAGAGACUAUAUAAUUUAUUGUUCCAGGUCCUUUUCAAGGUCACAUAAUUCUAAACAGAGAUGGCAGAAUUAAAACCCAGCUUUGAAAAUACUAUGUUGAUGUUAUUUUGUUAGUCAAAUUUUGGCCCCCAAAUGAUGCAUUUUUCACUCAAGCAUUUGGCAUAUUGAGAAAUAGCAAG